rnacentral:rRNA from 1 species
AUUCCAGCUCCAAUAGCGUAUAUUAAAGUUGUUGCAGUUAAAAAGCUCGUAGUUGAAUUUUGGGGUGGCCCCAGGAGGUCCACUUAUUUGCGAGUACUUUUUGGGACCGCCCUUCCAUGGCUUAUCCCUUCAGGGGGGUGGGCCAUAAUUACUUUGAGUAAAUGAGAGUGUUCAAAGCAGGCAAGCGCUUGAAUCUUUUAGCAUGGAAUAAUAAAAUAGGACGAUGAUUCUAUUUUGUUGGUUUCUAGGACCAUCGUAAUGAUUAAUAGGGACGGUCGGGGGCAUUAGUAUUCAGUUGUAAGAGGUGAAAUUCUUAGAUUUUCUGAAGACUAACUACUGCGAAAGCAUUUGUCAAGGACGUUUUCAUUA